UGAACUGAUGAUUCAGGCAGCGUACAC
rnacentral:sRNA from 1 species